rnacentral:rRNA from 1 species
UACGGAGGGUGCAAGCGUUUAAUCGGAAUUACUGGGCGUAAAGCGUGCGCAGGCGGUUUUGUAAGUCUGAUGUGAAAUCCCCGGGCUCAACCUGGGAAUUGCAUUGGAGACUGCAAGGCUAGAAUCUGGCAGAGGGGGGUAGAAUUCCACGUGUAGCAGUGAAAUGCGUAGAGAUGUGGAGGAACGACCGAUGGCGAAGGCAGCCCCCUGGGUCAAGAUUGACGCUCAUGCACGAAAGCGUGGGGAGCAAACAGG